rnacentral:rRNA from 1 species
UACGUAGGGACCAAGCGUUGUUCGGAUUUACUGGGCGUAAAGGGCGCGUAGGCGGCAAUUCAAGUCAUCUGUGAAUCUCCGGGCUUAACUCGGAAUGGUCAGGUGAUACUGCUUUGCUAGAGUGCAGAAGGGCAAUCGGAAUUCUUGGUGUAGCGGUGAAAUGCGUAGAUAUCAAGAGGAACACCUGAGGUGAAGACGGGUUGCUGGGCUGACACUGACGCUGAGGCGCGAAAGCUAGGGAGCAAACGGG